UUCUGCUUUGCCCAACUUAAAUACCUGCUUUUGAUGAAACCUGGAAAAAUCUGGUCUUUCUUCUCCUGCAGCGAUGCCUGGUGGGAGAUGUAGCUCAGUGGUCUUGUAUUUCUGUUCCCUUGGAUGGGGUGGGCUCCCCUGCCGGAUGACCUCUCCCUCCUGGUGAGCCUCGUGAUGCUGCUGUGACCGAAGGGUGGUUGACCCGUCCGAGGGACUCAGCAGCUUCUUGCAGAAUGAGAGCAUGAGAUACUCGAAUGACAACUCCCAGCAACUCUAAAAGCUGCCAUUGAUUUCAGCACAUGCUAACGCAGCUGGGUGUGAAGGCAGAGGGAUGGAAGCAAACGGGUGCUACCACAAAUCGGAGCAUCAGCAGAGGCAGUUGACUGAGGUGAGAAAGUUUCCAGGAUAACUUAUACCAUUCAGAGUUACCUGCCCUUUGAAAUGCAAGUCCAACAAUUCACCUGCAUCGGAGCCAGCUGCAGAGGCAGGCAGGGAGUAUCAGGAUGAAUCUGGCAUCUCAGGACACUUGGCCUGCUACCGUGGACCUCUCCCGUGUUACCAGGUACUCAGCUGGCACACUGGACCCAGAAAUAUUUUGCCUUCCCUAAGGCUGUGCUUUGCUUUCUCUUUCAGCUAGCAGGGGUUGGGGGAGCGCAGGGAAGCUUGCUGCGGGAUCCCACGUGCCAGCGAUUCGCCGCGGCGUUACGAGUUACAGCGCAUCUGCUGGUUUGCUGCAGCUGUCUGUGCGUGCGUGCCUCAGCUCGUGACAAGUGAGUUGUUAUGGAUUUCUAAUCAGGGAGACUGGAUGGUACAUCUGCGUUUCGUCUGUGCGAUAAUUCUCUGGACUUUGGGUGAAAGCGUGACUAUGAAUGCUACUUGUCAGUUUACUAUGCACAAACAAUAUGUUUCUCAUUUAGCCGCUCACCUGCCUUUGUCCAUCUUUAAAAAAAAAAAAAAAAAGGAGAUUUAAAUUCAGAAAGCCUGUUUGGAAGGAUCGUAAUAGAUCAGUCAAUGGAGUAGAGAAGUGUGAAUGCCAGUGCGGACAGAUCCACAGGCUGCAAAUCUCUAUCAAAAGGACUGUGCCCAGGAUCAUUUCAGUGAAAUCUGGAGGAUUAAGGUGAAGUCAUUACAAAUUUCUUACAGUAACAUAUGAUGCUUUCAAGAGAAAAUAUUGUGUAUUCACUUAUGGUUCAUUAA